rnacentral:rRNA from 1 species
UAUUCGGUAGUGGGAGUGGCGUAAGGGUGCGUAACACGUGGGCAAUUUGCCCUGAAGUUGGGGAUAACUCCGAGAAAUCGGAGCUAAUACCGGAUGUGAUUCUCUGGUGGCAUCACUGGGGAAUUAAAGUUGGGGACCGCAAGGCCUGACGCUUUAGGAUAAGCCCGCGGCCUAUCAUGGUAGUUGGCGGGGUAACGGCCCACCAAGCCUAAUACGGGUAGCUGGUCUGAGAGGACGACCAGCCACACUGGAACUGAGACACGGUCCAGACACCUACGGGUGGCAGCAGUCGAGAAUUUUUCACAAUGGGCGAAAGCCUGAUGGAGCGACGCCGCGUGGGGGAUGAAGGGCUUCGGCCUGUAAACCCCUGUCAUUUGCGAGCAAACCUUUUCGUUGAACAGGCGAAAAGUUGAUAGUAGCGAAAGAGGAAGGGACGGCUAACUCUGUGCCAGCAGCCGCGGUAAUACAGAGGUCCCAAGCGUUGUUCGGAUUUACUGGGCGUAAAGGGUGCGUAGGUGGUCGGAAAAGUUUGGUGUGAAAUCUCCGAGCUUAACUCGGAAAAUGCACUAAAUACUAUUUGGCUUGAGGGUCGGAGGGGAGACUGGAAUUCUCGGUGUAGCAGUGAAAUGCGUAGAUAUCGAGAGGAACACCGGUGGCGAAGGCGAGUCUCUGGACGAUUCCUGACACUGAGGCACGAAAGCUAGGGGAGCAAACAGGAUUAGAUACCCUGGUAGUCCUAGCUGUAAACGGUGCACAUUUGCUGUGAGCGGAAUCGACCCCGUUCGUGGCGAAGCUAACGCGUUAAAUGUGCCGCCUGGGGAGUACGGUCGCAAGAUUAAAACUCAAAGAAAUUGACGGGGGCCUGCACAAGCGGUGGAGUAUGUGGCUUAAUUCGAUUCAACGCGAAGAACCUUACCUGGCCUUGACAUGUACGUAGUAGAAGGGUGAAAACCCGACGAGGUAGCAAUACCAGCGUACACAGGUGCUGCAUGGCUGUCGUCAGCUCGUGUCGUGAGAUGUUGGGUUAAGUCCCGCAACGAGCGCAACCCUUGUGUCCUGUUGCCACCCGAACGAGAGUUCGGAGCACUCUGGACAGACUGCCUCGCUUUAACGAGGAGGAAGGUGGGGAUGACGUCAAGUCAGGAUGGCCCUUACGGCCAGGGCUGCACACGUACUACAAUGCCCAGUACAGAGGGACGCGAGACCGCAAGGUGGAGCAAAUCCCAAAAAAGUGGGCUCAGUUCAGAUUGUCGGCUGCAAUUCGCCGACAUGAAGCUGGAAUCGCUAGUAAUGGCGCAUCAGCUACGGCGCCGUGAAUACGUUCCCAGGCCUUGUACACACCGCCCGUCACAUCAUGAAAGCCGUCUGUACCCGAAGUCAGCGUGUUAACUGCAAAGAGACAACUGCCGAAGG